UACGUAGGGGGCUAGCGUUGUCCGGAAUCAUUGGGCGUAAAGCGCGCGUAGGCGGUCCGGUAAGUCCGCUGUGAAAGUCGGGGGCUCAACCCUCGGAUGCCGGUGGAUACUGUCGGGCUUGAGUGCGGAAGAGGCGAGUGGAAUUCCUGGUGUAGCGGUGAAAUGCGCAGAUAUCAGGAGGAACACCAAUUGCGAAGGCAGCUCGCUGGGACGUAACUGACGCUGAUGCGCGAAAGCGUGGGGAGCAAACAGG
rnacentral:rRNA from 1 species